GUGUGCAUAGCUCAGCGGUUAGAGCAUCCCUCCGGAUUGAGGCGAGCAUGGGUUCGAAUCCCGUUGCACACA
rnacentral:tRNA from 1 species